rnacentral:lncRNA from 1 species
GAGUUUCAUGAAAGGACUGAGAAGAAGAAAUGCCAAAAAAAGAAAAGGAAAUUAUGAGCCAGAGGGUUUAAAGCUCCCAGCUGAAUAAAGAGAAACUGGAAAGUAUCUUAAUGACAGAGGAGCAGAUAUGACAAUAAUGAUAAUAAAAACCUAGAGGUUAGAGUUGAAGGCCAGACUGUCAAACCAGGCAGUCUGCCCAGGGUGCUGAGAGACAAGACUUGCCAGGAGAAAUGCGUACUCCAGAGAUCUGCUUCGGAGCCUUAGGGAUGUAAUUCCCUUUCAGUGAUCUAAUGUGGAUACAAAAGGCAAUUUCAGGAGGUAACAACUCACUGGAAGCUUUUGAAACUUCCUCAGAUGAACAAAUUUAUGCAGGCCUUUUUCUUCCUCACAGUUGUUUUCAGCUGAUGAAUUUCCAGCAUACAACAGGCGUUCUUAUUAAUUCCUAAAUGCAUGACCUUGCAUACUGAACUACUUCAAUUUCAUCCUAUUGCUCUUGCUCCAAUUCUCAAGGUGACACAUUCCUCCUGCACACUGACAAUUGCUCACAACUUUUGUGAUCACUGCAUUUCAUUAUUGGACUCCUGCCUCUGUGUCAAGGACUCUAAUGAAAAUAUUAAAUAAAAUUGUCCCAAAUUG